UACACACCGCCCGUCACACCAUGGGAGUUGGUUCUACCUGAAGACGGUGCGCUAACCGCAAGGAGGCAGCCGGCCACGGUAGGGUCAGCGACUGGGUG
rnacentral:rRNA from 1 species